CCAACGGCCCUCCUUAGGGCCACAACUCCUACUUAAAACUUCCAUU
rfam:Steinernema glaseri strain NC unplaced genomic scaffold GLAS_5798, whole genome shotgun sequence.